UGUAGAUGCAGAAGAGGUGGGACUGAAAGGCUGUGAGUUCAAUGACUGGAGCAAGAAGUGGAAAGGGAUAUGCGUGAUACGUGGCACUUGCAGCAAGGCCUGCAGAGCCGAGGGCUGGGAAAAAGGAACCUGCUUAUACAUCAAUCACUGCCUCUGCUUCAAGAACUGCUCCCCGUCCCCGGCUACUUGAUUCAUGUACUCACUAUUGUGAUGUGAGUGCAUAUAUAUAUACUCCCUUAGUUGUCUUAGUUCAUGUUGUCUUAGUUCAACAUGUAUGGCUUAAGACAAGAGUAAGUGGUCUUAUAUAUAUAGAUGCAGGGCGUACAUGCAUGCAUGCAUGCGUUGUGACUACAAUUUUUUGCCUAAUAAAUUUGGGGCAGUAUUCAUCAACUGCAAUCUUUUACCCGCUUUUAAUUUGCUUGUGAUGGUGAUUGGCUCUCACUCGCCACUUACCGCUUCG
rnacentral:lncRNA from 1 species